AGAGACAGAGACUCACACAGGGCCAGAGAUUCAACAAAACAAACAAUCCCAUGAAUUUGUUUAUUAAUAGCCUAAAUGAUGUGUUUUCUCCCGCGGGACAGGAGAAAAACACAAAAUCAAUGCAUCUCUAUUAUUGUGUGCUCAGCGUUUCACGGAUAUGGGCGGGACUGGAUACACGUAUUGUGGGAGCGGGCGGGACUGUAACACACACGUUGCGACUGUGGGCGGGAAUGGUCAGAAUUUCAGCGGGAGUGGAAAG